rnacentral:misc_RNA from 1 species
GCCUGCUCAGUGCUCAUGCAUUUGCAGUGCCUGCUGGAGGAAUCAGGUGAAAAUUCUCAUUUGUUGCUAUCCAUCUUGGUCAAGCAUUUGGAUCACAAGAACAUUGUCAAGCAGCCUGACAUACAGAUCAGUAUAGUUAAUGUGGUCACACACUUGGUAGAAAGUGCAAAAGAGAAAGCUUCCGCAACUAUAGUUGGUGUCAUUAAUGACCUGAUUAAACAUUUACGGAAGUGCAUGCAGUAUUCAACUGAAGCAUCUAGUCCGAAAGAUGGAUUAAAUACUUCUAACUCCAAUCUUCAGUCUGCCCUAGAGAAGUGCAUAUUACAGCUCUCAAAGAAGGUUGCUGAUGUGGGCCCUAUACUUGAUAUGAUGGGCAUGGUGCUAGAGAACAUUCCAGCUAGCGCUGUCGCUGCUAGAUCAUUGAUUGCAGCUGUGUAUCGCACAGCACAAAUUGUUUCUUGCAUUCCAAAUGUGUCAUAUUACAGGAAGGCUUUUCCAGAUGCUCUCUUUCUCCACUUGCUCUUAGCAAUGGCACACACUGACCAUGAAACACGAGCUGUAGCACACCACAUAUUCUCCACUGUGCUUAUGCCACCUGUCAGUCCCUUGUCAUCUCUACAUAGUAGAAAUUCUUCUCAGAGUAUUCUAGUCCAAUCACCAAGGAAGUUGGCUAAGGUUAGAACUAAGAGUUUCUCCGUUCAAGAUGGAAAGGGUUCUAGAGAUGGAGAAGUGGGAGAAGUAAAUGAAGAUGUCAGUCGCCAUUCACAUCAAUCUGGUGACUCUCGAUCUCAAAGUGAGUCCUGUGACUUCAAGGAUGCCCUCCCUGACAGGAAAUCAGAGUUCACUUCGCUUCGGUUGAGUAGUCACCAAGUGAGUCUUCUGCUUUCAUCUAUCUGGGUUCAGGCAACACUGACUGAUAACACACCUUCUAAUUUUGAUGCGAUGGCCCAUACAUACAAAAUUGUUUUACUUUUCGUUCGAUCAAAGAAUUCUAGUCAUAUGGCGCUUGUUCGGUCUUUCCAGUUAGCCUUCUCUAUAAGGACUAUUUCGAUGGAUAAAGAAGGAGGUUUACAACCAUCUCGAAGGAGGUCUCUAUUUACUUUGGCAUCAUAUAUGCUCAUCUGUUCAGCAAGGGCGGGCAAUCUCGCUGAACUAAGUCCUGUGGUUAAAUCAUCACUGACAGAUGAAAUGGUUGAUCCUUAUCUUAAGUUGGGAGAAGAUUUGAGGCUGCAAACCGGGUCUGGUAGUGAAACAUAUGGUUAUGGCUCACAAGAAGAUGAAACUGCAGCUUUGCGAUCCCUGUCAGCAGUAGAGUUAGACGAUGAAAAAUUUAAAGAAAUCGUUAUGUUGCACUUCACAUCUAAAUGCGGAACAUUGUCAGAGGAUGAGUUAUCAAGCAUAAGAAAACAACUCCUGGAAAGGUUUGAACCAGACGAUGCAUAUCCACUGGGGAUUCCUCUGUAUAUGGAAACUCCUCACCCCUGCUCUCCACUUGCUCAGAUUGAGUUCGAGACUUUUGAUGAGGUCAUGGGACCACCUUCCCUCAUAGAUGAAGAAACAAUUUCAGAUGCUAAUGGAAGCCAAUCAGGUCGAAAGACAUCUCUGUCUAUCAAUUCCCUUGACAUUCUAAGUGUUAACCAGCUUUUAGAAUCGGUUCUGGAAACUGCCCGACAAGUUGCAAGCUACCCAACUUUCUCUACGCCGAUACCCUAUGACCAAGUAAAGAAUCAGUGUGAGGCCCUUGUUACUGGUAAACAACACAAGAUGUCAACCCUUCAGAGUUUCAAGAUGCAACAGGAAACCAAGGCAUUAAUAUCCUAUAAUGAAAAUGACAGGAAGAACCCUUCUUUACCAAAGAUGGAUAUGGUGCUUCACCAGGAUCUACAAUUAACAACAGUUGACUCAACUCAUGCACAAAACUCUCACUCUUGUUCUCGGGAGUAUGGAGAACAGUCCUUUAGGCUGCCACCUUCAAGCCCCUACGACAAGUUCUUGAAAGCAGCAGGAUGCUGAGUUUGAUGUUCUUACUUACACGUAGCUUCUAAUACUUGUAAGUAUUAUCUCAAGCAUGUUCAUAUCUCGUUGUGCUAUCCCAAAGAAGUAUCUUUCAAAUGUAAUAUUAUUUGUAUUGAGUUCAUAUUAAUUUAAAGUGUGUAAGCGGAAAUAAUAUAUGAG